UGGGGAAUAUUGCACAAUGGGCGCAAGCCUGAUGCAGCCAUGCCGCGUGUAUGAAGAAGGCCUUCGGGUUGUAAAGUACUUUCAGCGGGGAGGAAGGCGAUAAGGUUAAUAACCUUGUCGAUUGACGUUACCCGCAGAAGAAGCACCGGCUAACUCCGUGCCAGCAGCCGCGGUAAUACGGAGGGUGCAAGCGUUAAUCGGAAUUACUGGGCGUAAAGCGCACGCAGGCGGUCUGUCAAGUCGGAUGUGAAAUCCCCGGGCUCAACCUGGGAACUGCAUUCGAAACUGGCAGGCUAGAGUCUUGUAGAGGGGGGUAGAAUUCCAGGUGUAGCGGUGAAAUGCGUAGAGAUCUGGAGGAAUACCGGUGGCGAAGGCGGCCCCCUGGACAAAGACUGACGCUCAGGUGAGAAAGCGUGGGGAGCAAACA
rnacentral:rRNA from 1 species